CCUACGGGUGGCAGCAGUAGGGAAUCUUCCACAAUGGGCGAAAGCCUGAUGGAGCAACGCCGCGUGGGUGAAGAAGGUCUUCGGAUCGUAAAACCCUGUUGUUAGAGAAGAAAGUGCGUGAGAGUAACUGUUCACGUUUAGACGGUAUCUAACCAGAAAGCAACGGCUAAAUACGUGCCAGCAGCAGAGGUAGUACGUAGGUGGCAAGCGUUAUACGGAUUUAUUGGGAGUAAAGGGAACGAAGGCGGUCUUUUAAGUCGUAUGUGAAAGCCUUAGGCAUAACCGGAGUAGUGCAUUGGAAACUGGGAGGCUUGAGUGCAGACGAGGAGAGUGGAACUCCAUGUGUAGCGGUGAAAUGCGUAGAUAUAUGGAAGAACACCAGUGGCGAAAGCGGCUCUCUGGUCUGUAACUGACGCUGAGGUUCGAAAGCGUGGGUAGCAAACAGGAUUAGAUACCCCUGUAGUC
rnacentral:rRNA from 1 species